UAGGGAAUCUUCGGCAAUGGACGGAANNNUGGACCGAGCAACGCCGCGUGAGUGAAGAAGGUUUUCGGAUCGUAAAGCUCUGUUGUAAGAGAAGAACGAGUGUGAGAGUGGAAAGUUCACACUGUGACGGUAUCUUACCAGAAAGGGACGGCUAACUACGUGCCAGCAGCCGCGGUAAUACGUAGGUCCCGAGCGUUGUCCGGAUUUAUUGGGCGUAAAGCGGGCGCAGGCGGUUAGAUAAGUCUGAAGUUAAAGGCUGUGGCUUAACCAUAGUACGCUUUGGAAACUGUUUAACUUGAGUGCAAGAGGGGAGAGUGGAAUUCCAUGUGUAGCGGUGAAAUGCGUAGAUAUAUGGAGGAACACCGGUGGCGAAAGCGGCUCUCUGGCUUGUAACUGACGCUGAGGCUCGAAAGCGUGGGGAGCAAACAGGAUUAGAUACCCUGGUAGUCCACGCCGUAAACGAUGAGUGCUAGGUGUUAGACCCUUUCCGGGGUUUAGUGCCGCAGCUAACGCAUUAAGCACUCCGCCUGGGGAGUACGACCGCAAGNUUG
rnacentral:rRNA from 1 species